rnacentral:lncRNA from 1 species
CUGAAUUUUGACGUAAUUUCUUCUGAUGUAGCUAGCAGGUUGUGGAGGUGUAUUUGAAUGUAGGCAGCACCCUGACUGCGAUUAGGAUGUCCUCCGUCUGCUAGUCUUCUUUGAUCCUUGAAUUCUGUGGAGCUCAAAUAGAUAGCAAAGCUUUGUGGAACUGGUUAAGUGCCAGCAUAAAAAUCUCUUUGCCUUUAUCAUGUUGAGCUUCCUCUAAUAAAUAUUACUCUCUUUGGUAGGAUCAUAAGUUUAUUUUUAUAUUUCCAUUUUUAUAGGACAGGAAUAUAUUUAUUUUAUUUUUACGCCACCACAGUGAAUGUACUUUUGGGUUUUAUGCCACGAGCAUACUCACAUGGGGCUUACUAUUUUAUGAUGCAGUGCAACGAACAAUUAUUUUUGUUUUCUUUUUCUAAUGCUAAUGUGGAAAAGUAAAUAUGCUAAUGCAAGUGAUGGAAUAAAAAGGAAAAGGAAUGCAGAAAAGAUAAAUAUGGAUAAAUACUGAUUUUUCCUUCCAGCAAGGAUCCAAUUUUUUAAGUCUUCUGGACAAGACUACUCACCGUGUUCAUUGUUUAGGUGCGUCUUUCGAUUCAGGUGUGGACCUUGACGUCUGCACCUCUUGAUACGGUGUCACCCAUGUUCUUCGUUUGCCCAGUAGUUCGAAGUGCGGUGUUAGCAGCAUCCUGCUUAGUGUGUUUGUGCUUGUAGAUAUAGGUCUUUCACUUGGUGGAAUCUGGGAGUUGUAAAACUCCACCAUGUUUUGCUCCAAGUGUACCUGCUCAUAGAGACAAGGCAGAGAUCAAGUGCAUGGGUCCUGUUGGUGGAAAACACCAACAGAACCAAAAGUAUAUUUAUUCUUCUCUAUCUUUAAGCAUAGGGAGCAAGACAAAUUUGAUGGAUAAUAAGAUCAUGAGUGUAGUAUUUAAAUAAUUUGUUAGAUCAUAUCGCUCAACUAAUGGAAAGAUAAUCUAUCUAUAUUAAUGUUUUAUAUAUAUAUAUCUUCCAAAGAUUGAGUAUGCAAUAUUUUAGCUCAUAUGAUUAGGAGUGUGGGAUCACAAAGGUGGAAGGACUAAACAUGUUGAAUCGAUUGGGUU